UGGGAACGUGCCUUUUUGGUUCGGAACAACACAGGGAAACUUGUGCUAAUACCGGAUAAGCCCUUACGGGGAAAGAUUUAUCGCCAAAAGAUCGGCCCGCGUCCGAUUAGCUAGUUGGUGGGUAAUGGCCCACCAAGGCGACGAUCAGUAGCUGGUCUGAGAGGAUGAUCAGCCACAUUGGGACUGAGACACGGCCCAAACUCCGUACGGGAGGCAG
rnacentral:rRNA from 1 species